rnacentral:tRNA from 1 species
AGGGGUAGAGCUCAGUGGUAGAAUGCAUGCUUAGCAUGCACGAGGUCCUGAGUUCAACCCCCAGUAUCUCCA